CUCAACUCAAACCCAAAAUCAACACCAACCACCGCCACCUCCCAUUUUUGGAAACUUCUAAUUCUCGAUUCUGUAUUCAAUGAUUUUUCCGUAAAACCUGUCCAAAUUAAUUACUUUCCUUUGGUAUACUCUCUCUCUCUCUCUCUCUCUCUCUGCCCACCAACCAUUAAUCAGUUUCUAUACAGACGCAGAUCUACUCACCGUCUUCAUCCAUUCUUCUGAAUUGUUAAGGUUAGAUCCCUGAUUUUUUCCUUUUCCCCCCAUUCUUUUUUUACUUCUAAUUUGUUUAGUUUUCUUAAUGGUAUUUGAGUGACAGUUAGCAUGUUUAAUUGAUUUAAUUCAAGAGUUGUGGAUUCAUUCUGGCAAAGGCCCUUAUUUACCCAGUUUUCAAUUUCAUUUCUAAUCAAAUGCAGAUGAAGGAAAAGAGGGCUUUCGUUUUUAACAUAUUACAAAUUUUUAAUACUUUUUUUGCUGGUUGAUUCUUGACUUCGGUUUUUCCACGUUGGGAACAAAUUGCAGGUAACUUGUGAAAGUUGAAGAAUCAAUGGCGUUUACUAUGAAACAAACGCCUUUAACAGUAGCAACAUUGGGUUUGCUAUCCUUCAUUCUCUAACUUUUAGCAGUGGUGGUGGCGAUAGUUGGUGUGGAUUUUAGGUUUGAGUUGUGGGUGGGGGUGGGUGAGAGAAAGAAAACAGGCG
rnacentral:lncRNA from 1 species